rnacentral:rRNA from 1 species
AACGAACGCUGGCGGCAGGCUUAACACAUGCAAGUCGAACGAGAAGCUUCUUCGGAAGUGGACAGUGGCAGACGGGUGAGUAACGCGUGGGAAUUUGCCCAGAGGUUCGGGACAACCAUUGGAAACGAUGGCUAAUACCGGAUAAGCCCGAAAGGGGAAAGAUUUAUUGCCUUUGGAUGAGCCCGCGUAAGAUUAGCUAGUUGGUAAGGUAAGAGCUUACCAAGGCUACGAUCUUUAGCUGGUCUGAGAGGAUGAUCAGCCACAUUGGGACUGAGACACGGCCCAGACUCCUACGGGAGGCAGCAGUGGGGAAUAUUGCGCAAUGGGGGAAACCCUGACGCAGCCAUGCCGCGUGAGUGACGAAGGCCUUAGGGUUGUAAAGCUCUUUCGCUAGGGAAGAUAAUGACGGUACCUAGUAAAGAAGCCCCGGCUAACUCCGUG